UGAACGCUGGCGGCAGGCCUAACACAUGCAAGUCGAACGGUAACAGGAAGAAGCUUGCUUCUUUGCUGACGAGUGGCGGACGGGUGAGUAAUGUCUGGGAAACUGCCUGAUGGAGGGGGAUAACUACUGGAAACGGUAGCUAAUACCGCAUAACGUCGCAAGACCAAAAAGGGGGACCUUCGGGCCUCUUGCCAUCGGAUGUGCCCAGAUGGGAUUAGCUAGUAGGUGGGGUAACGGCUCACCUAGGCGACGAUCCCUAGCUGGUCUGAGAGGAUGACCAGCCACACUGGAACUGAGACACGGUCCAGACUCCUACGGGAGGCAGCAGUGGGGAAUAUUGCACAAUGGGCGCAAGCCUGAUGCAGCCAUGCCGCGUGUAUGAAGAAGGCCUUCGGGUUGUAAAGUACUUUCAGCGGGGAGGAAGGGAGUAAAGUUAAUACCUUUGCUCAUUGACGUUACCCGCAGAAGAAGCACCGGCUAACUCCGUG
rnacentral:rRNA from 1 species